AGCGUACACGGUGGAUGCCCUGGCAGUCAGAGGCGAUGAAGGACGUGCUAAUCUGCGAUAAGCGUCGGUAAGGUGAUAUGAACCGUUAUAACCGGCGAUUUCCGAAUGGGGAAACCCAGUGUGAUUCGUCACACUAUCAUUAACUGAAUCCAUAGGUUAAUGAGGCGAACCGGGGGAACUGAAACAUCUAAGUACCCCGAGGAAAAGAAAUCAACCGAGAUUCCCCCAGUAGCGGCGAGCGAACGGGGAGCAGCCCAGAGCCUGAAUCAGUGUGUGUGUUAGUGGAAGCGUCUGGAAAGGCGCGCGAUACAGGGUGACAGCCCCGUACACAAAAAUGCACAUGCUGUGAGCUCGAUGAGUAGGGCGGGACACGUGGUAUCCUGUCUGAAUAUGGGGGGACCAUCCUCCAAGGCUAAAUACUCCUGACUGACCGAUAGUGAACCAGUACCGUGAGGGAAAGGCGAAAAGAACCCCGGCGAGGGGAGUGAAAAAGAACCUGAAACCGUGUACGUACAAGCAGUGGGAGCACAGAGCAAUCUGUGUGACUGCGUACCUUUUGUAUAAUGGGUCAGCGACUUAUAUUCUGUAGCAAGGUUAACCGAAUAGGGGAGCCGAAGGGAAACCGAGUCUUAACUGGGCGUUAAGUUGCAGGGUAUAGACCCGAAACCCGGUGAUCUAGCCAUGGGCAGGUUGAAGGUUGGGUAACACUAACUGGAGGACCGAACCGACUAAUGUUGAAAAAUUAGCGGAUGACUUGUGGCUGGGGGUGAAAGGCCAAUCAAACCGGGAGAUAGCUGGUUCUCCCCGAAAGCUAUUUAGGUAGCGCCUCGUGAAUUCAUCUCCGGGGGUAGAGCACUGUUUCGGCAAGGGGGUCAUCCCGACUUACCAACCCGAUGCAAACUGCGAAUACCGGAGAAUGUUAUCACGGGAGACACACGGCGGGUGCUAACGUCCGUCGUGAAGAGGGAAACAACCCAGACCGCCAGCUAAGGUCCCAAAGUCAUGGUUAAGUGGGAAACGAUGUGGGAAGGCCCAGACAGCCAGGAUGUUGGCUUAGAAGCAGCCAUCAUUUAAAGAAAGCGUAAUAGCUCACUGGUCGAGUCGGCCUGCGCGGAAGAUGUAACGGGGCUAAACCAUGCACCGAAGCUGCGGCAGCGACGCUUAUGCGUUGUUGGGUAGGGGAGCGUUCUGUAAGCCUGUGAAGGUGUGCUGUGAGGCAUGCUGGAGGUAUCAGAAGUGCGAAUGCUGACAUAAGUAACGAUAAAGCGGGUGAAAAGCCCGCUCGCCGGAAGACCAAGGGUUCCUGUCCAACGUUAAUCGGGGCAGGGUGAGUCGACCCCUAAGGCGAGGCCGAAAGGCGUAGUCGAUGGGAAACAGGUUAAUAUUCCUGUACUUGGUGUUACUGCGAAGGGGGGACGGAGAAGGCUAUGUUGGCCGGGCGACGGUUGUCCCGGUUUAAGCGUGUAGGCUGGUUUUCCAGGCAAAUCCGGAAAAUCAAGGCUGAGGCGUGAUGACGAGGCACUACGGUGCUGAAGCAACAAAUGCCCUGCUUCCAGGAAAAGCCUCUAAGCAUCAGGUAACAUCAAAUCGUACCCCAAACCGACACAGGUGGUCAGGUAGAGAAUACCAAGGCGCUUGAGAGAACUCGGGUGAAGGAACUAGGCAAAAUGGUGCCGUAACUUCGGGAGAAGGCACGCUGAUAUGUAGGUGAAGCGACUUGCUCGUGGAGCUGAAAUCAGUCGAAGAUACCAGCUGGCUGCAACUGUUUAUUAAAAACACAGCACUGUGCAAACACGAAAGUGGACGUAUACGGUGUGACGCCUGCCCGGUGCCGGAAGGUUAAUUGAUGGGGUCAGCGCAAGCGAAGCUCUUGAUCGAAGCCCCGGUAAACGGCGGCCGUAACUAUAACGGUCCUAAGGUAGCGAAAUUCCUUGUCGGGUAAGUUCCGACCUGCACGAAUGGCGUAAUGAUGGCCAGGCUGUCUCCACCCGAGACUCAGUGAAAUUGAACUCGCUGUGAAGAUGCAGUGUACCCGCGGCAAGACGGAAAGACCCCGUGAACCUUUACUAUAGCUUGACACUGAACAUUGAGCCUUGAUGUGUAGGAUAGGUGGGAGGCUUAGAAGUGUGGACGCCAGUCUGCAUGGAGCCGACCUUGAAAUACCACCCUUUAAUGUUUGAUGUUCUAACGUUGACCCGUGAUCCGGGUUGCGGACAGUGUCUGGUGGGUAGUUUGACUGGGGCGGUCUCCUCCUAAAGAGUAACGGAGGAGCACGAAGGUUGGCUAAUCCUGGUCGGACAUCAGGAGGUUAGUGCAAUGGCAUAAGCCAGCUUGACUGCGAGCGUGACGGCGCGAGCAGGUGCGAAAGCAGGUCAUAGUGAUCCGGUGGUUCUGAAUGGAAGGGCCAUCGCUCAACGGAUAAAAGGUACUCCGGGGAUAACAGGCUGAUACCGCCCAAGAGUUCAUAUCGACGGCGGUGUUUGGCACCUCGAUGUCGGCUCAUCACAUCCUGGGGCUGAAGUAGGUCCCAAGGGUAUGGCUGUUCGCCAUUUAAAGUGGUACGCGAGCUGGGUUUAGAACGUCGUGAGACAGUUCGGUCCCUAUCUGCCGUGGGCGCUGGAGAACUGAGGGGGGCUGCUCCUAGUACGAGAGGACCGGAGUGGACGCAUCACUGGUGUUCGGGUUGUCAUGCCAAUGGCACUGCCCGGUAGCUAAAUGCGGAAGAGAUAAGUGCUGAAAGCAUCUAAGCACGAAACUUGCCCCGAGAUGAGUUCUCCCUGACUCCUUGA
rnacentral:rRNA from 1 species